rnacentral:rRNA from 1 species
UACGUAGGGUGCAAGCGUUAAUCGGAAUUACUGGGCGUAAAGCGUGCGCAGGCGGUUUUGUAAGUCUGUCGUGAAAGCCCCCGGGCUCAACCUGGGAAUUGCGAUGGAGACUGCAAGGCUUGAAUCUGGCAGAGGGGGGUAGAAUUCCACGUGUAGCAGUGAAAUGCGUAGAGAUGUGGAGGAAUACCGAUGGCGAAGGCAGCCCCCCUGGGCCAAUACUGACGCUCAUGCACGAAAGCGUGGGGAGCAAACAGG